rnacentral:rRNA from 1 species
AAUAUUGGACAAUGGGCGAAAGCCUGAUCCAGCAAUGCCGCGUGGGUGAAGAAGGUCUUCGGAUUGUAAAGCCCUUUCGGCGGGGACGAUGAUGACGGUACCCGCAGAAGAAGCCCCGGCUAACUUCGUGCCAGCAGCCGCGGUAAUACGAAGGGGGCUAGCGUUGCUCGGAAUGACUGGGCGUAAAGGGCGCGUAGGCGGCUCUCAUCGUCGGGCGUGAAAUUCCUGGGCUUAACCUGGGGGCUGCGUUCGAUACGUGGGGGCUUGAGUGUGGGAGAGGGUCGUGGAAUUCCCAGUGUAGAGGUGAAAUUCGUAGAUAUUGGGAAGAACACCGGUGGCGAAGGCGGCGACCUGGUCCAUGACUGACGCUGAGGCGCGAAAGCGUGGGGAGCAA